ACUUGAGAGAGGAGAACCCAGGGAAUUGAAACAUCUUAGUACCUGGAGGAAAAGAAAACAACAGUGAUUCCGAAAGUAGUGGCGAGCGAAAUUGGAAGAGCCCAAACCAGUCUAAGGACUGGGGUAGUAGGACUGCAACGUGGAAAGAGAAGGAAUAGUCGAAUGGCAUUGAAAGGCCAGUCGAAGAAGGUGCAAACCCUGUAGACGAAAUUCCAACGAAUCCUAGCAGUAUCCUGAGUACGACGAGGCACGUGGAACCUUGUCGGAAGCAACCGGGACCAUCCGGUAAGGCUAAAUACUCCUAUAUGACCGAUAGUGAACCAGUACCAUGAGGGAAAGAUGAAAAGAACCGCGGGAGCGGAGUGAAAUAGAACCUGAAACCAUAUGCUUACAACAAGUCAGAGCACAUUAAGGUGUGAUGGCGUGCCUUUUGUAGAAUGAACCGGCGAGUUAUCCUUGCAUGCGAGGUUAAGUAGACAAUACGGAGCCGAAGCGAAAGCGAAUCUGAAAAGGGUGAAGAGUAUGCAGGGAUAGACCCGAAGCCGUUGUGAUCUAGUCAUGAGCAGGUUGAAGGUUGGGUGAAACCAACUGGAGGACCGAACCGACCCCCGUUGAAAAGUUGGCGGAUGACUUGUGAUUAGCGGAGAAAUUCCAAUCGAACACGGCGAUAGCUGGUUCUCCCCGAAAUAGCUUUAGGGCUAGCGUUGAGCGAAUCAUCGUGGAGGUAGAGCACUGAAUUCAUGAGGGCGGCAUCUAGCCGUACCAAAUGAAAUCAAACUCCGAAUGCCAUGAAUGAAUACUCAGCAGUCAGACUGUGGGUGAUAAGGUCCAUGGUCAAAACGGAAACAGCCGAGAUCAUCAGAUAAGGUCCCAAAAUCUAUGCUAAGUGGAAAAGGAUGUGGAGACGCGCAAACAGCUAGGAGGUUGGCUUAGAAGCAGCCACCCUUCAAAGAGUGCGUAACAGCUCACUAGUCGAGUAUCUCUGCGCCGAAAAUUAACCGGGGCUAAGCAUAGUACCGAAUCUAUGGAUUUAUAUUUCGAAUAUAAGUGGUAGGGGAGCGUUCCAAACAGCGUUGAAGGUAUACCGUAAGGAGUGCUGGAGCGUUUGGAAGUGAGAAUGCCGGUGUGAGUAGCGAGAUGUAGGUGAGAAUCCUACACACCGAUAGACCAAGGUUUCCAGGGGAAGGUUCGUCCGCCCUGGGUUAGUCGGGAACUAAGGCGAGGCCGAAAGGCGUAGUCGAUGAACAGCAGGUUGAUAUUCCUGCACCCACGUAUUAAAUGAUGGAGUGACAGACAAGGUUAGUUAGAGCCCUUAAUGGAUUGGGCAAGACGUGUGAAUAGAUGGUAUAUAGGAAAAUCCGUAUACGGAAAUCAAGACACGGCUCGAGUGAACACGCGAGUAAGUAAUGAAGAAAAUGAUACCAGGUCUCAAGAAAAGCUUCUAGUGUUAAUUAAUAAGUGGCCCGUACCUAAACCGACACAGGUGGUCAAGGAGAGUAGCCUAAGGUGAGCGAGAGAACUGUUGCCAAGGAACUCGGCAAAUUGAUCCCGUACGUUAGCUAUAAGGGGUGCUCGAAAGAGCCGCAGUGAAAAGGCCCUAGCAACUGUUUAACUAAAACAUAGCUCUCUGCUAAGUCGCAAGACGAUGUAUAGGGGGUGACACCUGCCCGGUGCUGGAAGGUCAAAAGGAUGAGUUAGGAGCAAUCCGAAGCUUUGAAUUGAAGCCCCAGUGAACGGCGGCCGUAACUAUAACGGUCCUAAGGUAGCGAAAUUCCUUGUCAGGUAAGUUCUGACCCGCACGAAAGGUGUAAUGAUUUGGGCACUGUCUCGGCAGCAGACUCGGUGAAAUCUUAGUACCUGUGAAGAUGCAGGUUACCCGCAACUAGACGGAAAGACCCCAUGGAGCUUUACUGUAGUCUGCUAUUGAGUUUCGGUUAAAUAUGCACAGUAUAGGUGGGAGACGAAGAGAUCGGGAUUUAGGUUUCGAAGGAGUCACCGUUGGGAUACCACUCUUAUUUAAUUGAAAUUCUAACUCUAGACCAUUACCUGGAUAGAGGACCGUGGCAGGUGGGCAGUUUGACUGGGGCGGUCGCCUCCCAAAGAGUAACGGAGGCGCUCAAAGGUACUCUCAGAAUGGUUGGAAAUCAUUCGGCGAGCGUAAAUGCAGAAGAGUGCUUGACUGCAAGACAUACAAGUCGAGCAGGGACGAAAGUCGGAAUUAGUGAUCCGGCGGUGCAGAAUGGAAU
rnacentral:rRNA from 1 species